UCUCCGUAGGUGAACCUGCGGAGGGAUCAUUACAGAGUUCAUGCCCUACCGGGUAGAUCUCCCACCCUAUGUUAUUAUUACUUUGUUGCUUUGGCGGGCCGUUAGGCUCCGGCCCGACUACCGGCCCCGGCUGGUAAGCGCCCGCCAGAGGACCCAAAACCCUGAAUAUUAUUGUCGUCUGAGUACUAUAUAAUAGUUAAAACUUUCAACAACGGAUCUCUUGGUUCUG
rnacentral:misc_RNA from 1 species